GACGAACGCUGGCGGCGUGCUUAACACAUGCCAGUCGAACGGUGAAGCUCCAGCUUGCUGGAGUGGAUCAGUGGCGAACGGGUGAGUAACACGUGAGCAACCUGCCCCUGACUCUGGAAUAAGCGCUGGAAACGGCGUCUAAUACUGGAUACGAGAAGGGUCCGCAUGGGCACUUUCUGGAAAGUUUUUCGGUUGGGGAUGGGCUCGCGGCCUAUCAGCUUGUUGGCGAGGUAAUGGCUCACCAAGGCGACGACGGGUAGCCGGCCUGAGAGGGCGACCGGCCACACUGGGACUGAGACACGGCCCAGACUCCUACGGGAGGCAGCAGUGGGGAAUAUUGCACAAUGGGCGAAAGCCUGAUGCAGCGACGCCGCGUGAGGGAUGACGGCCUUCGGGUUGUAAACCUCUUUCAGCAGGGAAGAAGCGAAAGUGACGGUACCUGCAGAAGAAGCACCGGCUAACUACGUG
rnacentral:rRNA from 1 species